rnacentral:rRNA from 1 species
ACUCGUAGACUCCUACGGGAGGCAGCAGUGGGGAAUAUUGGACAAGUGGGGGAAACCCUGAUCCAGCAAUGCCGCGUGUGUGAAGAAGGCCUGAGGGUUGUAAAGCACUUUUAGUCGUGAGGAAAUGCUGAUGGUUAAUACCUAUUAGUUUUGACGUUAGCGACAGAAAAAGCACCGGCUAACUCUGUGCCAGCAGCCGCGGUAAUACAGAGGGUGCAAGCGUUAAUCGGAUUGACUGGGCGUAAAGGGCGCGUAGGUGGUUAUUUAAGUUAGAUGUGAAAUCCCUGGGCUUAACCUAGGAACUGCAUUUAAUACUGGGUGACUAGAGUACGGGAGAGGGCAGUGGAAUUUCCGGUGUAGCGGUGAAAUGCGUAGAUAUCGGAAGGAACACCAGUGGCGAAGGCGACUGCCUGGCCUGAUACUGACACUGAGGCGCGAAAGCGUGGGUAGCAAACAGGAUUAGAUACCCUGGUAG